rnacentral:rRNA from 1 species
ACACAUGCAAGUCGAGGGAGGAGCUUUCGGGCUUCGACCGGCGUACGGGUGCGUAACGCGUAUACAAUCUGCCUUUCACAUAGGGAUAGCCCGAAGAAAUUUGGAUUAAUACCUAAUGGCAUAUAGGGGUGGCAUCACCUUUAUAUUAAAGCUGAGGCGGUGAAAGAUGAGUAUGCGUCCUAUUAGCUAGUUGGAGAGGUAACGGCUCCCCAAGGCUACGAUAGAUAGGGGUUCUGAGAGGGAUAUCCCCCACACUGGUACUGAGAUACGGACCAGACUCCUACGGGAGGCAGCAGUGAGGAAUAUUGGACAAUGGUCGGAAGACUGAUCCAGCCAUGCCGCGUGCAGGAAGACGGCCUUAUGGGUUGUAAACUGCUUUUGCAGGGGAAGAAUAAGGACUACGUGUAGUUUGAUGACGGUACUCUGCGAAUAAGCAUCGGCUAACUCCGUGCCAGCAGCCGCGGUAAUACGGAGGAUGCGAGCGUUAUCCGGAAUCAUUGGGUUUAAAGGGUCCGUAGGCGGGCUAAUAAGUCAGAGGUGAAAGCGCUCAGCUCAACUGAGCAACUGCCUUUGAAACUGUUAGUCUUGAAUGGUUGUGAAGUAGUUGGAAUGUGUAGUGUAGCGGUGAAAUGCUUAGAUAUUACACAGAACACCGAUAGCGAAGGCAUAUUACUAACAAUUAAUUGACGCUGAUGGACGAAAGCGUGGGGAGCGAACAGGAUUAGAUANCUUGGUAGUCCACGCUGUAAACGAUGGAUACUAGCUGUUUGGUUGCAAGACUGAGUGGCUAAGC